rnacentral:misc_RNA from 1 species
GCACAAGCAAAAGCCCCUCACGUUCACCUUUCUUGGUCCCGACGGCUCGCUACCGCCCACGUUUAUAUCAAACACCUCCUCCUUCAGACCCCAUACUAAUAUGCUCUUCUUCCACUGUCUCUCAAUUCUUUUCUCUCUUUCACAAUCUCAUCAUAAACAUGCUUACGAGUGACCAAAUGUUUCUGCACUGCCCUCCUAGGCCCUUGCCCAUGGAGAGAAAAUGGAAAUCCCAUGUCGAAUUUGCUCCUAAUUGCCCUCGUUGUGCCUCUUCCAACACCAAAUUCUGUUAUUACAAUAACUAUAGCUUCUCUCAGCCUAGGUACUUUUGUAAAGGUUGUCGACGGUAUUGGACUAAAGGUGGCUCUCUAAGGAAUGUUCCUGUUGGUGGUGGUUGUCGUAAAACUCGCAGAGCGAAGUCCCUUAGGAUCUCGCAGGAUGGUCGUAAUGCUUUUGCAAAGAAUUUCAGUGGUUUUGGUGGUAGGAGUAAUGAGUCUAGUGGAGAUUCAUUGGCUCAAGAAACUGCAACUAAUGAUGGAUCGUCAUCUGAGAUUGAUAUUGCGGUUGUUUUCGCUAAGUUCUUGAACCAAGACUCGAGUUUUCAGCCUGAAUUUAUGGCCAUGAGUCAAGAAUUGCCUAAUGAGGCCUUUACUGUGCCAGCAAAUUCUUUAACACCUGACAGCGCUGUGAUUGAGUGCGACGACAAGCUCACGGAUCUGAUCCAAGAAUCUGAUUUAUUACUUGAAGGGUUACCUCCGGUGAUUGUAGGAGAUCACGAGCUACAAGAAAAUCAAGAAAGAAUUCAGGAGCUCAUAGAAAGUCAAAACAUGGAUGCAUUAGGAUUACAAAUUUUGCUGGGAGAUGAAAUGGUGCAAGAUGCUUAUCUGUGGUCUGAAUCUGCUGCAACCUUCUCAAAUGUUACAUGGGAAACUGUAGUACAUCAACCGGAACAAGAAUUUAUUAGUCCAUUCUCCAUGGAUGAUCAGCUAAAGAUUUCUGCCAAUCUUAUGAUCGAUAAUGCUUGGAGUUCUUUGGAUCUCCCGGGGUUUGAGGUUUUUUCAAGACCUUGACGUAUAGUAAAAAUUUGCAUGAU